rnacentral:rRNA from 1 species
AUUGAACGCUGGCGGCAGGCUUAACACAUGCAAGUCGAGCGGAGAGAGGUAGCUUGCUACUGAUCUUAGCGGCGGACGGGUGAGUAAUGCUUAGGAAUCUGCCUAUUAGUGGGGGACAACAUUUCGAAAGGAAUGCUAAUACCGCAUACGUCCUACGGGAGAAAGCAGGGGAUCUUCGGACCUUGCGCUAAUAGAUGAGCCUAAGUCGGAUUAGCUAGUUGGUGGGGUAAAGGCCUACCAAGGCGACGAUCUGUAGCGGGUCUGAGAGGAUGAUCCGCCACACUGGGACUGAGACACGGCCCAGACUCCUACGGGAGGCAGCAGUGGGGAAUAUUGGACAAUGGGCGGAAGCCUGAUCCAGCCAUGCCGCGUGUGUGAAGAAGGCCUUAUGGUUGUAAAGCACUUUAAGCGAGGAGGAGGCUACUUUAGUUAAUACCUAGAGAUAGUGGACGUUACUCGCAGAAUAAGCACCGGCUAACUCUGUGCCAGCCGCCGCCGUAACAC